rnacentral:rRNA from 1 species
CUAGCUACAGGCUUAACACAUGCAAGUCGAGGGGCAGCAUGGUCUUAGCUUGCUAAGGCCGAUGGCGACCGGCGCACGGGUGAGUAACACGUAUCCAACCUGCCGUCUACUCUUGGACAGCCUUCUGAAAGGAAGAUUAAUACAAGAUGGCAUCAUGAGUCCGCAUGUUCACAUGAUUAAAGGUAUUCCGGUAGACGAUGGGGAUGCGUUCCAUUAGAUAGUAGGCGGGGUAACGGCCCACCUAGUCUUCGAUGGAUAGGGGUUCUGAGAGGAAGGUCCCCCACAUUGGAACUGAGACACGGUCCAAACUCCUACGGGAGGCAGCAGUGAGGAAUAUUGGUCAAUGGGCGAGAGCCUGAACCAGCCAAGUAGCGUGAAGGAUGACUGCCCUAUGGGUUGUAAACUUCUUUUAUAAAGGAAUAAAGUCGGGUAUGGAUACCCGUUUGCAUGUACUUUAUGAAUAAGGAUCGGCUAACUCCGUGCCAGCAGCCGCGGUAAUACAGAGGAUCCGAGCGUUAUCCGGAUUUAUUGGGUUUAAAGGGAGCGUAGAUGGAUGUUUAAGUCAGUUGUGAGAGUUUGCGGCUCAACCGUAAAAUUGCAGUUGAUACUGGAUAUCUUGAGUGCAGUUGAGGCAGGCGGAAUUCGUGGUGUAGCGGUGAAAUGCUUAGAUAUCACGAAGAACUCCGAUUGCGAAGGCAGCCUGCUAAGCUGCAACUGACAUUGAGGCUCGAAAGUGUGGGUAUCAAACAGGAUUAGAUACCCUGGUAGUCCACACGGUAAACGAUGAAUACUCGCUGUUUGCGAUAUACAGCAAGCGGCCAAGCGAAAGCGUUAAGUAUUCCACCUGGGGAGUACGCCGGCAACGGUGAAACUCAAAGGAAUUGACGGGGGCCCGCACAAGCGGAGGAACAUGUGGUUUAAUUCGAUGAUACGCGAGGAACCUUACCCGGGCUUAAAUUGCAGAUGAAUUACGGUGAAAGCCGUAAGCCGCAAGGCAUCUGUGAAGGUGCUGCAUGGUUGUCGUCAGCUCGUGCCGUGAGGUGUCGGCUUAAGUGCCAUAACGAGCGCAACCCUUGUUGUCAGUUACUAACAGGUUCCGCUGAGGACUCUGACAAGACUGCCAUCGUAAGAUGUGAGGAAGGUGGGGAUGACGUCAAAUCAGCACGGCCCUUACGUCCGGGGCUACACACGUGUUACAAUGGGGGGUACAGAGGGCCGCUACCACGCGAGUGGAUGCCAAUCCCCAAAACCUCUCUCAGUUCGGACUGGAGUCUGCAACCCGACUCCACGAAGCUGGAUUCGCUAGUAAUCGCGCAUCAGCCACGGCGCGGUGAAUACGUUCCCGGGCCUUGUACACACCGCCCGUCAAGCCAUGGGAGCCGGGGGUACCUGAAGUGCGUAACCGCGAGGAGCGCCCUAGGGUAAAACUGGUGACUGGGGCUAAGUCAUAA